AUUGCUUCUUGGCCUUUUGGCUAAGAUCAAGUGUAGUAAUCAAAAUAAUAUAAAAUGUUGUAUUUUGCCUAUUGCUUUGACAAAAUUUAGCUUUGUUAGUAUUUAGUGUUGGCACCCAUGUGGGAAAAUGGCCUCUGAUUCACUUUAGGAAGCAAUAUUA
rnacentral:snRNA from 1 species